rnacentral:rRNA from 1 species
AUUGAACGCUGGCGGCAGGCUUAACACAUGCAAGUCGAGCGGGGAAAGGUAGCUUGCUACCUGACCUAGCGGCGGACGGGUGAGUAAUGCUUAGGAAUCUGCCUAUUAGUGGGGGACAACAUCUCGAAAGGGAUGCUAAUACCGCAUACGUCCUACGGGAGAAAGCAGGGGACCUUCGGGCCUUGCGCUAAUAGAUGAGCCUAAGUCGGAUUAGCUAGUUGGUGGGGUAAAGGCCUACCAAGGCGACGAUCUGUAGCGGGUCUGAGAGGAUGAUCCGCCAAACUGGGACUGAGACAAGGCCCAGACUCCUACGGGAGGCAGCAGGGGGGAAUAAUGGACAAUGGGGGGAACCCUGAUCCAGCCAUGCCGGGUGGGUGAAGAAGGCCUUUUGGUUGUAAAGGACUUUAAGCGAGGAGGAGGCUACCGAGAUUAAUACUCUUGGAUAGUGGACGUUACUCGCAGAAUAAGCACCGGCUAACUCUGUG